AGUCCUAUCGGAAUAAUUUUUCGAUUAGGGCUCGGAAAUAAGAGUUAUGUGGAUUUGAGCUGCGUAGUCCAAUUUUUGGGUUGUCAAGUCUUAAAUAUCCAUGAAAAUGAAAGAUUAUGGUGUUGUGGGGCUGUGCGUUUUGACGGAUAUCGAUUCGGAGUUACGGUUUGUCCGGAAUCAAAUUUUGAAGUUGAGAGCAUAAUCUGGAAUUUCGUGAACAGUACUUUCCAGGGCUUUGAUUGUUGUUUUUGGGCUGUUGUUUGGGUUGGCUGUGUUGGGACAUCCAUAGUAUGCUGGAUGGGUUUCGUUUUGACUAUAAGAGCGCGCAAAACGGAGUCCGGUGGAGGAAGUUAUGGCGCGUGGAAAUUUGGCGCGCGAGUUGUUCGUUGUGGUUGGCAUUAGAUUUUUUCCAUUGAGCAAGCCGUCGUAGGCUCGUGGGUGUCGGAUUAUUGGCUAGUUAGCCUUAGCUUAUUCGAGUCGCGCGUUAGGGGUAAGUAUUACUCGGUUUUGAUUCGUUUUUCCGUAUGUUUGAUAGGAUUUUGGAACCGUCGGCUCAAGUAUCACAUAUGGGUUAGUUGUGGAUUACCAGGUUCUUCUGCUGGCCGCAAGUAGGGCGUGAGCGGGCGUUAGUCGGAGGAUUUCUUUUUGAUUGUGGGAUUUUGGAAAGCUCUGAUGUUUUCGAGUCUUGUUUAAGUUUAGGCUGCGUCCUUUGGGUGAAAGGACGGCCGUGUUACGAUCCCGUUUUGGUUGUAUUCGGGGUGUGACAU